rnacentral:rRNA from 1 species
UACGUAGGGUGCAGGCGUUAAUCGGAAUUACUGGGCGUAAAGCGUGCGCAGGCGGUUUGCUAAGACAGGUGUGAAAUCCCCGGGCUUAACCUGGGAACUGCGCUUGUAACUGGCAAGCUAGAGUGUGGCAGAGGGGGGGUGGAAUUCCACGUGUAGCAGUGAAAUGCGUAGAGAUGUGGAGGAACACCGAUGGCGAAGGGCAGCC